UACGUAGGGUGCAAGCGUUGUCCGGAAUUAUUGGGCGUAAAGAGCUCGUAGGCGGUCUGUCGCGUCGGCUGUGAAAACCCGAGGCUCAACCUCGGGCCUGCAGUCGAUACGGGCAAACUAGAGUACUGCAGGGGAGACUGGAAUUCCUGGUGUAGCGGUGAAAUGCGCAGAUAUCAGGAGGAACACCGGUGGCGAAGGCGGGGUCUCUGGGCAGUAACUGACGUGGAGGAGCGAAAAGCGUGGGGAGCGAACAGG
rnacentral:rRNA from 1 species